rnacentral:lncRNA from 1 species
AUCUAGCAACGUUGGAAACUCUGGACUUAAAGCACAUCCUACACCGCACAGAUCUAAACUGCGGCGGAGCGCUGCCUUCAACAAUGUGGCAGGGAGAGAGAAGGAGGCAGGUGCAGGCUGCCGAAACAGGACGUCCCAGGAUGAAAAUCCCAUAUAUGAGUCUGCUUUAUAAAUGCUUGGUCUGUGUUUUUCCAAAAACUGUGUGGAAAUAUUCAAGUCCGACCAGACUACAUGCGACUCAGGACAACAAACAGCCUGCGUGCUGAACCCUCUGAAGCCGACGCUGAGCCACGGAGAACUGUCUCCCUAUCACCACGCACCAGAACUACUUCCAGCUUUGAUUUAUUGCACACAUCGCUUCUAUCUUACCAACCAGAACAUGAUAUAUAUGGAGAGAGCAGAGAAGUAUGGCAGGAGGAGAGAGAAUCAAAGGAUCACUAAACAGAACUUUCAAGACAGAGACCUCCGACGCUCUAUGUUAAGUAGUUUGUAUGCCUGUGAAUAAAAGCUCUCCCCACCCACCAAACUUGAAAAGGAUCUGCUUCACAUAAAGAAGAUCCUAUUUGAGCAGAAAUCAGUGUGGGUGUUGGGCGGGUAGGUGGGUUUGUAUUUGUUCGGGCACAGGGCUGAGGGGUGUCAGACUGACCUAUUCCAGGUGUGGAACAGCCGACUGGGCGGCCCUUAUCAGGGCUUAAGUUGCAGGUUGGCCACACAAGCAUUUUGGUUACAUUUGCAAAAGACUAUAUUACUCUUAUUUUAGAAUGACAUAAAAAUAACCAACCAGUCAUUGCAAAUGCUUUCUGAAAUGUUUUCAUGUUCUUGUUUUCCUGAAUGAGUCUCCAGUCUAAAAAUGGGUGGCAGCUCCUGUUACUUGUUAGGAUAAAACUAUAUCCUUUUGGGCUCUAUGCCUUCUAUCAACGAGUCUCCAUUAGCCUAUCUGACCUUGUCUCUCCCCACUCAGAACUCUGACUUAGCCAGGAUGAUAGACAUUCCGUGUUCCACAUAUGUUUACCUCUUUCCAGAAGUUACACCUCUGUUUAUGACAUUCUGCACACUGGGAAUAGCCUCCUCAAUUCAAAUUCUUUGUUUUUAGUAAGUCUUAGUUCAUGAUUCACAAAUUAACUUCUGCCCAAACUUCCCUGAGCCUAAGCUCAUGUUGACUCAUUAAACCCUCACCACAGUUAUUUCCCUGUCCCUAUGGUACCUUUAGAUGUCCUAUAGUUAUCCACGUAUGUAUGGCUUUUUCUCCACAAUUCAGCUACAAUCAUUUCAAGGACGACAAUUUGUCUGCUUCUUUGUGGCUCUAAAGCCAUUGAACUGUGGGAGGUAUUGCGGUACCUACUCAGUAAAGUUUUGUUGAAUAAUUAAGUAGAUCUCUGAGUGGAAUACGUAGGUUGCAGUCAAACUAAAAGAUGGGGAGAAGAGGGAGUGAAAGUAUAGGAAAAAAGUAGGUAAAAAACACUGUCCCUUGGAGACACUAAAACUCACGUGAAAGACAACAAGAACACAUACAUCAGAAACAGAAAUUCACAUGUUCCUUGGGGGCAUGUAAGCUACCUAUGUGUAGUCCCUUUCAUGUGGAUUAAGGCUGCCCCAGCUAGCGAAGCCCAAGCUGACCUGGCCUACAUGCCAAACUAUAUGACCCAGUGGAUUUUUUUUUAUGGUAUGAAUUAGGGCUGCCCCAGGGAGAGAAGCCCAGGGCAUCUUCACCUACAUGCCGAUCUAUAUGGCCAGAUUCGUAUCUAAAGUUAUAUGACCGUACAAUAACCAAACCCCAUCUGCACUGAAUCAUUUAAUGACUUUUUACAUCAUCUUUUCUUUUUCCAGUAAAAAUAAGUCACGUACCCAUGCUUUAUAAAAUUAGCCCUAACCCUCAACUCAGGGCAGCAGCAGGAGCUCUGACUGCCCAUGGGUCCUGUCCCCAUGCAGCAGCGACGGCAGCUCUUUACUGACCAUGGGUCCUGUCCCCAUGCUAUUCCGUACUAUCCUCUAAAUAAAAGAGCACCACUGCCAGACCUUGAGAGUCCA